GGCGCACGGUCGCUUAGUGGUUAGCACACUCGCCUCUCACCUCCAGGGUCGGGGGUUCGAUUCCCUCCUCCGCCC